GUGAUAGGGUUAGAAGAAUGAGUGAGUUUGCUAGAGCUGCUUUUCCAGGCGACGUUUGCAAUUGCAGAAUGGAAUUGUAUGAAUGAUGAUGGAUGGUAGAUGUGAGAAUGUGGGGGUACGAAUGUGGGGGUGUUUCUGAAUGGUAAUUUUUGUUGAACAUUGUGUUGUGAUGGGGCUACCAACCCUUAACUGUUUUGGAGUUUAAAUUGGAAGUGCCCUUCUGGUACGAGGCCUGACCGGAGGCUUUUAAUCUGGUACCACGGGUAACCAGGAGCCCACGGAACUGUUCCGUCCUGGUUAGUUGGUGCGGCCCUUCGGGGAGUAUCGUGGUGGUUGUGGUUUAACACCCAAAUGCGGGUAGAGCAUCGCUCGACGUGGAGUUGCGUUAUACAACCGGGUUCCGUGACCCAGAUUACGGAAGAGGCUUAGAUAGUCCUCGUGCCAAACCAAGGUAGAAGUCACAACCAAACAGUCGUGUCUUUAAUUGGUACCUGCGGAAUUGUUCCAAGGGGGCGGUGAUUGACGCUUGAAUUAAUCCUAUACUAGGAACCGUGAGAUUAAGCCAUCGCGGCAGGUGCUCACGUUAAGCCCACUGACUUUCAUGUCCCUAUCUACUAUCUAGCGAAACCACAGCCAAGGGAACGGGCUUGGAAUAAUUAGCGGGGAAAGAAGACCCUUUUGAGCUUGACUCUAAUCUGGCAGUGUAAGGAGACAUAAGAGGUGUAGAAUAAGUGGGAGAUAUUAGACUUCGGUUUGGUAUCGACAAUGAAAUACCACUACUCUUAUUGUUUCCUUACUUACUUGAUUAAAUGGAACGUGUAUCAUUUCCUAGCCAUUAUACGGAUAUAAUUAUUAUGUCUUAUGGUAUUGGGUUUUGAUGCAAGCUUCUUGAUCAAAGUAUCACGAGUUUGUUAUAUAAUCGCAAACAAAUUCUUUAAUGAGAGAAUGCAUUUAUGUAUUAUUGAUUUAAAAAUUUGGUAUAACUCCAAUUACUCAGGUAUGAUCCAAUUCAAGGACAUUGCCAGGUAGGGAGUUUGACUGGGGCGGUACAUCUCUCAAAUAAUAACGGAGGUGUCCCAAGGCCA
rnacentral:ncRNA from 1 species